GGAAGGAUGGUCCAAUGGUCAGAGCAAUUGCCUAGGACUUAGGAGACCUGGGUUCAAUUCCCUGUUCUACUG
rnacentral:tRNA from 1 species